rnacentral:rRNA from 1 species
CCUACGGGGGGCAGCAGUGGGGAAUAUUGGACAAUGGAGGGAACCCUGAUCCAGCCAUGCCGCGUGUGUGAAGAAGGCCCUCGGGUUGUAAAGCACUUUCAGUGAGGAAGAACGCCUGGUGGUUAAUACCCAUCAGGAAAGACAUCACUCACAGAAGAAGCACCGGCUAACUCCGUGCCAGCAGCCGCGGUAAUACGGAGGGUGCGAGCGUUAAUCGGAAUUACUGGGCGUAAAGCGCGCGUAGGUGGCUUGAUAAGCCGGUUGUGAAAGCCCCGGGCUCAACCUGGGAACGGCAUCCGGAACUGUCAAGCUAGAGUGCAGGAGAGGAAGGUAGAAUUCCCGGUGUAGCGGUGAAAUGCGUAGAGAUCGGGAGGAAUACCAGUGGCGAAGGCGGCCUUCUGGACUGACACUGACACUGAGGUGCGAAAGCGUGGGUAGCAAACAGGAUUAGAUACCCCGGUAGUC